rnacentral:rRNA from 1 species
AGAUUGAACGCUGGCGGCAGGCCUAACACAUGCAAGUCGAGCGGCAGCACGGGUACUUGUACCUGGUGGCGAGCGGCGGACGGGUGAGUAAUGCCUAGGAAUCUGCCUGGUAGUGGGGGAUAACGCUCGGAAACGGACGCUAAUACCGCAUACGUCCUACGGGAGAAAGCAGGGGACCUUCGGGCCUUGCGCUAUCAGAUGAGCCUAGGUCGGAUUAGCUAGUUGGUGGGGUAAUGGCUCACCAAGGCGACGAUCCGUAACUGGUCUGAGAGGAUGAUCAGUCACACUGGAACUGAGACACGGUCCAGACUCCGUACGGGAGCAGCAGGU